GUGACCCUGCGGUUAAAACCCGCGCGCUGCAGCAUCGCGGAAAACGGGAUUCGCCUCAUUUGAAACUUGAGGAAAAUCUCUAAACACUUUCAUUUUGAUAGAAACCAUUUCCGCCGCUGACGUGCGUCUACGCCCAUCAUUUCAGCUGACACGUUGCUGUAACGUCUCCUCCGUUUCAUGCUCUUUCGAACCCUGUCAGCUGCGGGGAAGGAACUUCUAAACUAAAAGCUGGCAAGACUCAGCAGAAAAAAAAUAUCGAAAGCUGCUUCUGCUGCCCCAGCUUCACUCAGGCCCUGGCUGCUCCUUCACUGGUCUACACUGCUGCCUCCUGGAACCACCCACUCUGCAACCAGGUCUGAUGCCCGGUGUGGACAUUCAGGGAUGAGGUCCCCUGGGGCUAAAUGAAUGAACAGAUUCUGAAAAGCAGAAGCUACGUCCGGGGGUCUCUGGGCCACAAAUCACUUUCUGACCUGCAGCCGUGAGGCGUGAGGCUCACUCGGAAGCUCCCGGAACCUGGAGACUGCCCUCACUCAACACUUGAACAAGCAAGGGGCCAGGUUCAAUGAAACACCUGCCCGCCCGGCACACCAGGCUCAAAAGCAAGCAAGCAAGCAAACAAACAAACAAAAUCAAAUCAGGCCUUCACAACUCCCCAAAUCAUGUGUGAGUUUCUACAGAGCAGAAGCCAAAAAUAUAUGUUAUCUAACUAGGUCCUAUUUACAUAUAUUUUUAUGGCUGCUCUAAAAAAUUAUCACAAACAUAGCGGCUUCACCCCGUUUCCCCUGUUGUGAUUAUUACACAUUGGAUGCCUGUAUCAAAAUAUCUCAUGGACCCCAUAAAUAGCAACACCCUGUAUGUACUCAUGACAAUUUUUUAAAAAAGAACACUUACACUUUCC
rnacentral:lncRNA from 1 species